GGACUGCUGGCGCAACGGUAGCGCGUUCGACUCCAGAUCGAAAGGUUAUCCGUUCAAAUCGGGUGUGGUUCA
rnacentral:tRNA from 5 species